GUCCUCUCAGGAUCGCACCUGGAGAGUUUCCAGUACUCUACCAGUCUCGGCUAUGGAAGGAAGAGUCAGGUGGCCUACCCAUUCCAUUCCUAGCUUGGGCAGAGGCUAGCAAGUGGAAGGCAUUCUGCUACAAGU